UACGGAGGGGGCUAGCGUUGUCCGGAAUCAUUGGGCGUAAAGCGCGCGUAGGCGGCCCGGUAAGUCCGCUGUGAAAGUCAAAGGCUCAACCUUUGAAUGUCAGCGGAUACUGCCGGGCUAGAGUCCGGAAGAGGCGAGUGGAACUCCUGGUGUAGCGGUGGAAUGCGCAGAUAUCAGGAAGAACACCAACGGCGAAGGCAGCUCGCUGGGACGGAACUGACGCUAAGGCGCGAAAGCGUGGGGAGCGAACAGG
rnacentral:rRNA from 1 species